rnacentral:rRNA from 1 species
UGGCGAACGGGUGAGUAACACGUGAGCAACCUGCCCUUGACUCUGGGAUAAGCCUGGGAAACCGGGUCUAAUACUGGAUACGACCUUCCCGCGCAUGCGGUGUUGGUGGAAAGCUUUUGUGGUUUUGGGUGGACUCGCGGCCUAUCAGCUUGUUGGUGGGGUAAUGGCCUACCAAGGCGACGACGGGUAGCCGGCCUGAGAGGGUGACCGGCCACACUGGGACUGAGACACGGCCCAGACUCCUACGGGAGGCAGCAGUGGGGAAUAUUGCACAAUGGGCGCAAGCCUGAUGCAGCGACGCCGCGUGAGGGAUGAAGGCCUUCGGGUUGUAAACCUCUUUCAGUAGGGAAGAAGCUGGUCCUUUUUGGGGUUGGUGACGGUACCUGCAGAAGAAGCGCCGGCUAACUACGUGCCAGCAGCCGCGGUAAUACGUAGGGCGCAAGCGUUAUCCGGAAUUAUUGGGCGUAAAGAGCUCGUAGGCGGUUUGUCGCGUCUGCCGUGAAAGUCCGGGGCUUAACCCCGGAUCUGCGGUGGGUAC